GACAGAGGGUGCGAACGUUGUUCGGAAUUACUGGGCGUAAAGCGCGUGUAGGCGGCAACGCAAGUCGGGCGUGAAAUCCCACGGCUCAACCGUGGAAGUGCACUCGAAACUGCGUAGCUAGAGUCCUGGAGAGGAAGGUGGAAUGCUUGGUGUAGAGGUGAAAUUCGUAGAUAUCAAGCGGAACACCCGUGGCUAAGGCGGCUCUCUAGUACGGUACUGACGCUGAGACGCGAAAGCGUGGGGAGCGAACAGG
rnacentral:rRNA from 1 species